rnacentral:rRNA from 1 species
UUGACCUCGGAUCAGGUAGGAAUACCCGCUGAACUUAAGCAUAUCAAUAAGCGGAGGAAAAGAAACCAACAGGGAUUGCCCUAGUAACGGCGAGUGAAGCGGCAACAGCUCAAAUUUGAAAUCUGGCCUCGGCCCGAGUUGUAAUUUGCAGAGGAUGCUUCUGGCGCGGUGCCUUCCGAGUUCCCUGGAACGGGACGCCACAGAGGGUGAGAGCCCCGUAUGGUCGGACACCAAGCCUGUGUGAAGCUCCUUCGACGAGUCGAGUAGUUUGGGAAUGCUGCUCUAAAUGGGAGGUAAAUCUCUUCUAAAGCUAAAUACCGGCCAGAGACCGAUAGCGCACAAGUAGAGUGAUCGAAAGAUGAAAAGCACCUUGAAAAGGGGGUUAAAUAGUACGUGAAAUUGUUGAAAGGGAAGCACUUGUGACCAGACUUGGGCCGGGCGGCUCAUCAGGGGUUCUCCCCUGUGCACUCCGCCCGGCACAGGCCAGCAUCGGUUUUCGCGGGGGGACAAGACCGCCGGGAACGUAGCACCCUCCGGGGUGUGUUAUAGCCCGGCGGACGAUACCCCCGCGGGGACCGA